rnacentral:tRNA from 1 species
GCCCGUUAAGUAUAAUUACUGUACAAUUGCCUUCCAAGCAGUGAGAUUAAGAAUAUCUUAAAACGGUUA